rnacentral:rRNA from 1 species
GGAUGAGCUGUGGAUAGGGGUGAAAGGCUAAACAAAUCCGGAAAUAGCUGGUUCUCCCCGAAAACUAUUUAGGUAGUGCGUCACAUAUCACUUCCGGGGGGUAAAGCACUGUUAUGGCUAGGGGGUCAUCGCGACUUACCAAACCAUGGCAAACUCUGAAUACCGGAAAGUGCGAGUGUGGCAGACAGACAGUGGGUGCUAACGUCCAUUGUCAAGAGGGAAACAACCCAGACCGCCAGCUAAGGUCCCCAAGACACAGUUAAGUGGGAAACGAAGUGGGAAGGCAUAGACAGCUAGGAGGUUGGCUUAGAAGCAGCCACCCUUUAAAAGAAAGCGUAAUAGCUCACUAGUCGAGUCGUCCUGCGCGGAAGAUGUAACGGGGCUCAAACUGUGCACCGAAGCUGCGGAUAUCGAAAGAUAUGGUAGGGGAGCGGUUCUGUAGGUCUGUGAAGGUGUCUUGUAAA